UGGGGAAUAUUGCGCAAUGGGCGAAAGCCUGACGCAGCGACGCCGCGUGGGUGAUGAAGGCCUUCGGGUCGUAAAGCCCUGUCGGGAGGGAAGAAACAGUCUGGACCUAAUACGUCCGGGAAUUGACGGUACCUCCUAAGGAAGCACCGGCUAACUCCGUGCCAGCAGCCGCGGUAAUACGGAGGGUGCUAGCGUUGUUCGGAAUCACUGGGCGUAAAGGGCGUGUAGGCGGUUUGUUAAGUCUGAUGUGAAAUCCCCUCGCUCAACGAGGGAACUGCGUCGGAUACUGGAUGGCUUGAGGUUGGGAGAGGGAUGCGGAAUUCCAGGUGUAGCGGUGAAAUGCGUAGAGAUCGGGAAGAACAUCGGUGGCGAAGGCGGCUCGCUGGGCUGUUGCUGACGCUGAGGCGCGAAAGCGUGGGG
rnacentral:rRNA from 1 species